rnacentral:rRNA from 1 species
UACGUAGGUGGCAAGCGUUGUCCGGAAUUAUUGGGCGUAAAGAGCUCGUAGGCGGCUUGUUGCGUCGACCGUGAAAACCCGGGGCUCAACUUCGGGCUUGCGGUCGAUACGGGCGGGCUAGAGUUCGGUAGGGAGACUGGAAUUCCUGGUGUAGCGGUGAAAUGCGCAGAUAUCAGGAGGAACACCGGUGGCGAAGGCGGGUCUCUGGGCCGAUACUGACGCUGAGGAGCGAAAGCGUGGGGAGCGAACAGG